UUAAGAAUUUCUGAGAUUUUGUUGCUGGCAUCAGUGAGCCCAGUGAAGACCUUCACUGCUAUAUUGGACACAACAAGAACUAAAACACAAACUCAAACUCAGGGAUUGUGAUUCCCAUAUCUUGACAGCUACCUCUCUCAAAAGGCCACUGUUGACAAUGGGAUUCAACAUGGGAUCAACUGAGCCACCUUGGCCUUCCACAAGCUAUGGCAGUGACAGUUUGACAACAAAGACCUUGACAAGUCAACAAAGAUACUGCCUGAUCUGCUGAGUUUCCGCAGCAAUUUCUGCUUUUGUUUGAACCAAGAUCAACGAUCGGGAAUAGAAUAAACAUAGGGCCAUUUCCAAAAGAAA